rnacentral:tRNA from 1 species
AGGGGCGUGGUGUCAACGGCUAGCACGGCGGUCUCCAAAACCGCUAGUCUGGGUUCGAAUCCCAGCGCCCCUG